rnacentral:RNase_P_RNA from 1 species
ACGGCGGGUUGCACGGCUGUCGGUAUCUUCCCGUCGAACGGAAGAGGCUGAGGAAGUUCCGCCCACCAUUCGCACAAGCGAAACGAUGAUGCGCAAGCACCCCCGCUUAAGGCGGGAGCGCGGAACAGAAACCAUACCGCUUCGGGAGCAGGAUGACGCACAGGACUUUUCCCGAAGAACGGAUGAAACGCGCCGCGCUUGGUGCAAGUUCAACCGCGUGAAAACGCGGCAAGAACGCUAAGUCGAAUGCCGUGGACAACAGAAGGCGGGCUACGGACUCGCCGU